rnacentral:piRNA from 1 species
GAGGAGAGCCGAGCUGGGUACGAGAC